UGGACCUGAUUCAGCA
rnacentral:rRNA from 1 species